rnacentral:rRNA from 1 species
AUUGAACGCUGGCGACAUGCCUUACACAUGCAAGUCGAACGGCAGCACGGGAGCAAUCCUGGUGGCGAGUGGCGAACGGGUGAGUAAUAUAUCGGAACGUGCCCAGUCGUGGGGGAUAACGUAGCGAAAGCUACGCUAAUACCGCAUACGAUCUAUGGAUGAAAGCGGGGGAUCGCAAGACCUCGCGCGAUUGGAGCGGCCGAUAUCAGAUUAGGUAGUUGGUGAGGUAAAGGCUCACCAAGCCGACGAUCUGUAGCUGGUCUGAGAGGACGACCAGCCACACUGGGACUGAGACACGGCCCAGACUCCUACGGGAGGCAGCAGUGGGGAAUUUUGGACAAUGGGCGCAAGCCUGAUCCAGCAAUGCCGCGUGCAGGAUGAAGGCCUUCGGGUUGUAAACUGCUUUUGUACGGAACGAAACGGCGAGCUCUAAUACAGUUUGCUAAUGACGGUACCGUAAGAAUAAGCACCGGCUAACUACGUGCCAGCAGCAGCCGCGG